AACGAACGCUGGCGGCAUGCCUAACACAUGCAAGUCGAACGAGACCUUCGGGUCUAGUGGCGCACGGGUGCGUAACGCGUGGGAAUCUGCCCUUGGGUUCGGAAUAACAGUGAGAAAUUACUGCUAAUACCGGAUGAUGUCUUCGGACCAAAGAUUUAUUGCCCAAGGAUGAGCCCGCGUAGGAUUAGCUAGUGGGUGGGGUAAUGGCCUACCAAGGCGACGAUCCUUAGCUGGUCUGAGAGGAUGAUCAGACACACUGGGACUGGGACACGGCCCAGACUCCUACGGGAGGCAGCAGUGGGGAAUAUUGGACAAUGGGCGAAAGCCUGAUCCAGCAAUGCCGCGUGAGUGAUGAAGGCCUUAGGGUUGUAAAGCUCUUUUACCAGGGAUGAUAAUGACAGUACCUGGAGAAUAAGCUCCGGCUAACUCCGUGCCAGCAGCCGCCGUAA
rnacentral:rRNA from 1 species